UUGGGUUAAGUCCCGCAACGAGCGCAACCCUCGCCCUUAGUUGCCAGCAUUCAGUUGGGCACUCUAAGGGGACUGCCGGUGAUAAGCCGAGAGGAAGGUGGGGAUGACGUCAAGUCCUCAUGGCCCUUACGGGCUGGGCUACACACGUGCUACAAUGGUGGUGACAGUGGGCAGCGAGCACGCGAGUGUGAGCUAAUCUCCAAAAGCCAUCUCAGUUCGGAUUGCACUCUGCAACUCGAGUGCAUGAAGUUGGAAUCGCUAGUAAUCGCGGAUCAGCAUGCCGCGGUGAAUACGUUCCCGGGCCUUGUACACACCGCCCGUCACACCAUGGGAGUUGGUUUUACCCGAAGGCGCUGUGCUAACCGCAAGGAGGCAGGCGACCACGUAGUCAGGGACGUU
rnacentral:rRNA from 1 species